UUAACUUACAUCCACACCGCCAGGGGAUUACGAGCAAUGCUUAAAACCCAAAGGAUUUGACGGUGUCCCACCCCACUAGAGGAGCCUGUUCUAUAAUCGAUGAUCCCCGCUUCACCUAACCAUCCCUCGCCUACCAGUCUGUAUACCUCCGUCGAAAGCUUACCAUGUGAACGCCCGCAGUAGGCUUAAUGAUUCACCAUCAACACGUCAGGUCAAGGUGCAGCUUAAGGAAUGGAAAGCAAUGGGCUACAAUUUCUAACUUAGAACAAACGAAAGACUAUGUGAAACCCUAGUCAUGAAGGUGGAUUUAGUAGUAAAAAGAAAGUAGAGUGUUCUUUUUAACCCGGCUCUGGGACGCGUACACACCGCCCGUCACCCUCUUCGACAGUACCCCGUUUGUUCCUAACCUAACACCACGUUUUAGAAGAGGCAAGUCGUAACAUGGUAAGUGUACUGGAAAGUGCACUUGGUAUACCA
rnacentral:rRNA from 1 species